UACGUAGGGGGCAAGCGUUGUCCGGAUUUAUUGGGCGUAAAGAGCGUGUAGGCGGUUUGGUAGGUCCGCUGUGAAAACUCGAGGCUCAACCUCGAGACGCCGGUGGAAACCAUCAGGCUAGAGUCCGGAAGAGGAGAGUGGAAUUCCUGGUGUAGCGGUGAAAUGCGCAGAUAUCAGGAAGAACACCCGUGGCUAAGGCGGCUCUCUAGUACGGUACUGGACGCUG
rnacentral:rRNA from 1 species